UAGCCUAGUGGUUAAGGCUAUGCAUUGCCAAUCCAGAGACGGCGGGUUCGAUUCCCGU
rfam:Aedes albopictus isolate Foshan contig28735, whole genome shotgun sequence.